rnacentral:rRNA from 1 species
CGAAAGCGUGGGGAGCGAACAGGAUUAGAUACCCUGGUAGUCCACGCCGUAAACGAUGCAUACUAGUUUUUUGGGGUAUCGACCCCCUGAGAAACGAAGCUAACGCGAUAAGUAUGCCGCCUGGGAAGUACGGCCGCAAGGCUAAAACUCAAAGGAAUUGACGGGGACCCGCACAAGCGGAGGAUGAUGUGGUUUAAUUUGACGAUACGCGAAGAACCUUACCCAGGCUUGACAUCCUUGGAACCCUGCGGAAACGCGGGGGUGCCCUCGGGAGCCAAGUGACAGGUGCUGCAUGGCCGUCGUCAGCUCGUGUCGUGAGAUGUUGGGUUAAGUCCCGCAACGAGCGCAACCCUUAUCGUAUGUUGUAUUUUUCAUGCGAGACUGCCCGGGCCAACCGGGAGGAAGGUGGGGAUGACGUCAGGUCAGCAUGGCCCUUACGCCUGGGGCUACACACGUCAUACAAUGGCCGGUACAACGCGCUGCGAAACCGCGAGGUGGAGCUAAUCGCAUCAAAACCGGUCUCAGUUCGGAUUGCAGGCUGCAACUCGCCUGCAUGAAGUCGGAUUCGCUAGUAAACGUGGGUCAGCACACCACGUUGAAUACGUUCCCGGGUCUUGUACACACCGCCCGUCACGUCACGGAAGUCGCCAACACCCGAAGUGCCUACUUUGCUAGGCCCUAAGGUGGGGGUGGUAACUGGGAUGAAGUCGUAACAAGGUAGCCGUA